rfam:Biomphalaria glabrata isolate BB02 unplaced genomic scaffold LGTN_random_Scaffold3775, whole genome shotgun sequence.
AAAAAGGUCCUUUUCAGGGCCACCCUCUAAACCAGGUUCUUUUUAG